rnacentral:rRNA from 1 species
UACAGAGGUCUCAAGCGUUGUUCGGAUUCAUUGGGCGUAAAGGGUGCGUAGGCGGCGCGGUAAGUCGGGUGUGAAAUCUCGGGGCUUAACUCCGAAACUGCAUUCGAUACUGCCGUGCUUGAGGACUGGAGAGGAGACUGGAAUUUACGGUGUAGCGGUGAAAUGCGUAGAUAUCGUAAGGAAGACCAGUGGCGAAGGCGGGUCUCUGGACAGUUCCUGACGCUGAUGCACGAAGGCCAGGGGAGCAAACGGG